AAGGAGGUACGGGUAUACUAUUGAGCAAGGGGAGAGGCAGAGGGGAGGGUGACUAAGUGAAUGCAGUUUGCCGUCGCGUGUCGCCGUAUCACAGCGAAGUCCACAGGCAGGCGGACGGAUCGGACCCGAAUCAACAAAUGGAGACAGAAAAACUGGAUGUAUACUGCAUGUGAGGAGAAACCAAGGGAGGAUAUAGAGUCUGCCUUCAUAUCCUUUUAUCUUUGCAUCUAAUACUACUGUGAGGAACCCACAGGGAGGGAAAGAAAAACAGCGGACAACUCAUUUUUCCUCUAACACAUCUGUGAAGAGAGGAGCUGUGAAUAGAGUGAACUGUGGGACUCACUGGGAUUUCUGAAUAUAAGCUCAUUGCCUGUGUGUGUGUGUGUGUGUGUGUGUGUGUGUGUGUGUGAGCUGAUAAUAGCAGCUCCAUUGGUAUUCAGCGGAGGGAGCUCCAGGAUCUCGCUGCGCCUUUCCCCAGGAUGGGAUCACAGAGCAGGGAUUGUGCUUGCCUGUGGAGAGCCCACUGAAAUGGAUCUGAAGCCUCGCAGAGAUGGGCACCAAAUGGACAGCAUGGAAGCCAACAUCCACCCUCCAGCGACCAGCUUUCCACGGCUAGCUGCCUCCACCAUCUCCUGCCAUCAGCUCGAACCAUCCGAGCGAGGGCUGAGUCUGCAGAGUUGAGCCUGGACCAGCCGUCUACCGAAAGCAGAGAUAAGCAGAGGGCGACAGGCCUCGGAGGAGUCAACGCGCAACAAGCCAGUCGGCGUGUUGAGCGCACAAUUGAGCUUCUUGGACUUCAUCUAAAAUGAAAUAGGCUGCAGUGAUGCUUGAGCAAUGGUACGGAGCUUUUGGAUAUGUCCGGAUUUAUCAGCCGGAUAUAUUUUUGAGAUUACGACACUUUGGUGCACACCUCAGAGCUCAGCCACUUUUUCCAGAUUGGCUUGUGGGCAAAAGCGAGUAAUUGAAAAUCCCCCCUCGAGAGGCGCUCUGUUUUGAUUUGUUGCGGGGGAGGAGGGCCUAUCGUUAUUGUUUUUUUUCUUCUUUUUUUUUUCGAGGAACAAUUUCCAAAAACACCCGGCUUUUAUCCCACAAAUUUCCCCCAGUUUCUCUCACAUUGCGGAGAAGUACAUUAUGAAGCAGUACCAUUCUUCUUCAUCCUCCCUCAGUGACGGAGAGAGAGGAGGGACAGACUGUCCAGAAUAGAUAACGAGCAAGGAGACUGGCACCGAGGAGAGGAGAAGGAGAACAAAAAAAAAGGAAGAAGGAGAAGCAGAAAACAGGGAAACAGGUGGAAAAAGAAAGAGAAGGAAGGCGACAGAGGGGGAAGAAAAAAAGCAGGGACGGCGAGAAAAUAAAGGACAGAGAAUUAAGUAGGAUUGCACAGAAUCUUUUUGGAGACUCUUUGUAAUUCGUGUUGAGGCUAGUUAGCGCAAUGGGUAGGGGAGGGGUUCAGGAUUUACACUGGGGAGGGGGGGGGACUUGAGCAGGAGACUAGGAUGAUGUCCCGCCUGCACCUGCCUGGUCUGUAUCUCAGUGUUUGGGAGGAAGACAGGCUGAAAGAUGGCCUGGUAAAUAGACAGCUGUAUUGAAUGACAGACAAGCUCUGAGGCUGGUGAGACAGACAGACAGGAAGACGGGUACACAGCCCAAGUGUCAGGCAGCGAGCCAGGCAGACAUCCAGUGCCGGCACAGUAGACGGCGUGCAAAUCAUUGUCAUUCUGUGCAGAGCGUGAGGGGAAGGCAGAGAGGAGGAAAGAAAGCAGAAGAGCAUCCCGGUGGUUGUAGCUUCUGGAGAAUCUCAGUCAGUGCUGUGGCAAGCUCAUGCACUAAAAAAACCCAAACAAGCAGU